rnacentral:rRNA from 1 species
GAUGAACGCUGGCGGCGUGCCUAAUACAUGCAAGUCGAGCGAACAGAUAAGGAGCUUGCUCCUUUGACGUUAGCGGCGGACGGGUGAGUAACACGUGGAUAACCUACCUAUAAGACUGGGAUAACUUCGGGAAACCGGAGCUAAUACCGGAUAACAUAUUGAACCGCAUGGUUCAAUAGUGAAAGGCGGCUUUGCUGUCACUUAUAGAUGGAUCCGCGCCGUAUUAGCUAGUUGGUAAGGUAACGGCUUACCGAGGCAGCGAUACGUAGCCGACCUGAGAGGGUGAGCGGCCACACUGGGACUGAGACACGGUCCAGACUCCUACGGGAGGCAGCAGUAGGGAAUCUUCCGCAAUGGGCGAAAGCCUGACGGAGCAACGCCGCGUGAGUGAUGAAGGUCUUCGGAUCGUAAAACUCUGUUAUCAGGGAAGAACAAAUGUGUAAGUAACUGUGCACAUCUUGACGGUACCUGAUCAGAAAGCCACGGCUAACUACGUGCCAGCCGCCGCGGUAA